rnacentral:rRNA from 1 species
AACGAACGCUGGCGGCAGGCCUAACACAUGCAAGUCGAGCGCACCUUCGGGUGAGCGGCGGACGGGUUAGUAACGCGUGGGAACGUGCCCUUUAGUAAGGAAUAGCCUCUGGAAACGGAGAGUAAUACCUUAUACGCCCUUCGGGGAAAGAUUUAUCGCUAAAGGAUCGGCCCGCGUUAGAUUAGGUAGUUGGUGGGGUAAUGGCCUACCAAGCCUACGAUCUAUAGCUGGUUUUAGAGGAUGAUCAGCAACACUGGGACUGAGACACGGCCCAGACUCCUACGGGAGGCAGCAGUGGGGAAUCUUAGACAAUGGGGGAAACCCUGAUCUAGCCAUGCCGCGUGAGUGACGAAGGCCCUAGGGUCGUAAAGCUCUUUCGCCAGGGAUGAUAAUGACAGUACCUGGUAAAGAACCCCGGCUAACUCCGUGCCAGCGCCGC